rnacentral:SRP_RNA from 1 species
GCGAGGUGUAGUGUGUACCUGUAGUUCCAGCUACCUGGGGAGGCUGAGGCAGGAGGAUGGCUUGAGCCCAGGAGUUCUGGGCUGUAGUGUACUAUGCUGAUCAGGUGUCUGCACUAAGUUCAGCAUCAAUAUGGUGACCUCCCGGGAGCGGGGGACCACCAUGUUGCCUAAGGCAGGGUAAACCAGCCCAGAUCGUUAAUGGAGCAGGUCAAAGCUCCGGUGCUAAUCAGUAAUAGGACUGUGCCUGUGAAUAGCUACUACACUCCAGCCUGGGCAACAUAGGGAGACCCCAUCUUU